rnacentral:tRNA from 1 species
AAAAAAUUAGUUAAAGUCUAAUAAUGGAGGGUUGUCAAUUCUUUGUUGCUCUUUUGAGUGUUUUUUG